UAAUACGGAGGAUGCAAGCGUUAUCCGGAUUCAUUGGGUUUAAAGGGUGCGUAGGCGGCCUUUUAAGUCAGUGGUGAAAUCCUGCCGCUUAACGGUAGAAUUGCCAUUGAUACUGAAAGGCUUGAGUCCAGUUGAGGUAAGCGGAAUGUGUAGUGUAGCGGUGAAAUGCUUAGAUAUUACACAGAACACCAAUUGCGAAGGCAGCUUACUAAACUGUAACUGACGCUGAUGCACGAAAGCGUGGGGAGCGAACAGGAUUAGAUACCCUGGUAGUCCACGCCGUAAACGAUGUUCACUCGCUGUUUGCGAUACACAGCAAGCGGCCAAGCGAAAGCAUUAAGUGAACCACCUGGGGAGUACGAUCGCAAGGUUG
rnacentral:rRNA from 1 species